AUUGUACUACCUCCGUCCGGAAAUACUUGUUGAAGAAAUGGAUAAAAAUGAAUGUAUCUUAAACUAAAAUAUGUCUAGAUACAACCAUUUCUCCGACAAGUAUUUUCGGACGGAGGGAGUACUUG
rnacentral:pre_miRNA from 1 species